rnacentral:rRNA from 1 species
ACGCGAAGAACCUUACCAAGGCUUGACAUGUUCCAGACCGCCUCAGAGAUGGGGUUUCCCUUCGGGGCUGGUUCACAGGUGGUGCAUGGUUGUCGUCAGCUCGUGUCGUGAGAUGUUGGGUUAAGUCCCGCAACGAGCGCAACCCUCGUUCCAUGUUGCCAGCACGUAAAGGUGGGGACUCAUGGGAGACUGCCGGGGUCAACUCGGAGGAAGGUGGGGAUGACGUCAAAUCAUCAUGCCCCUUAUGUCUUGGGCUUCACGCAUGCUACAAUGGCCGGUACAAUGGGUUGCGAUACUGUGAGGUGGAGCUAAUCCCUAAAAGCCGGUCUCAGUUCGGAUUGGGGUCUGCAACUCGACCCCAUGAAGUCGGAGUCGCUAGUAAUCGCAGAUCAGCAACGCUGCGGUGAAUACGUUCCCGGGCCUUGUACACACCGCCCGUCAAGUCACGAAAGUUGGUAACACCCGAAGCCGAUGGCC